rnacentral:lncRNA from 1 species
GUUCGAAUGCCCGGUCAAUCGCUCUCCGACCCAAACGUAGCGUUCUCUCACAACGCGGCCCAUAUGGAAAAAAGAAAAAACAGAGACCGAGUAACUUGGAGGUCUAGGACUGAAGUGCAGCCCUUUGAUUUCUUCUUUGAAGGAUCUUUUUCCAACUGCACUUGUGCCUGAUUUGACGUGCGUGUCAGCAGUUGAGGUACGGGGAGGCUGCCUGGGCCAAGCAGAAAGGCCGCAGGUGGGCAUUUCGUUUGUCUCGAGAUCCGUCACUUUUUCACAAGGCGCCGUGCACUGAAAGGCGAACAGACGUACCUGAUCCAGGAACUGUAACUGGGACUCUGCGUGCAGGGCAAGGUGGCUGAAGAUGCCAGGUUGUCUUUCUGUGGUUCUCGUUUGAGGAAAAACCCCAAGACGUACGAAAUGGAAUCGGUAGACAGUCGCGUCGGGGAAACAGGUUUCUGCGUCUCGCAGUGGGCCGGCCACGACCCCUUGAAAUGAAAAUCCCUUUUCCGCGGAAAAUGCAGCGAAAGACUGCGCCCAUCUGAGACUCUGCGGUCUGCGAAGAAUUUUCGAAGCGUGCGUGGCGAUGAAGGUCCACACCGCAGGUACCAGCAAUGGCCCCGGGCGCGCUUCGGUUUAGUCCUUUAGGAAAUGGAGGAACGAUAGAGACGACUACACUGUUUAGGGUAAGAGCCACCUUUUAGUGAAAAUCCAGUUAAAACUAUUACAGACUUUAAUUAAAUGCAGACUCUUUAGUGGUAAAUGAAGUCGAAGGCGCUCAAGCCGUAGGUCUGGACUGCGGCACAGACACAGGGAAACGAAAUCGGGAACUUCAAAUGGAGGGGGAGGAAAAGCAGAACGACAAGGAAGCCGCGAAGGUGUUUUCAACUCUGCGAAAGAGAAUGUGCACGUCUGAAAUCUGGCACCACACUGGAGUUUCUCAGCGCAGAGGCGGGAACUCGACAACCGCGUUUGCGACCUUUUUGUCGUUUGCUCUGCCCGGGGUUCAGCUGUCAGUGGAUUUCUCUCAAACGCUCUGUGGACCCUUUCGCGACAGAGUUCCGGAUCCGUCUUUUACCGCCGAACUUUUGAGCAGGACCUCCUCGCGAGCGGCUAACAUUCGCAGAAUUGAAUCUCGUUGGCUACCAUUGAAUCGACAGUUACGUGAGAGCGACUGUUCCAGUCCUGGCCGACCAGAAAUCUCUACCGACACACAGAGCUGUGCCGACAGCGCGCGGACCUUUUCCACGUGAAGAGGACGGAGGAGAAGACGGCACUUGAAGAAACACCGGCGGAGACCGUUCUAAGCGGGCACAGCGCUUUCUUCCCGGAUGAGAUCCGUACUCCGCCCGUAGUUAUUGUCAGCAAUUCGGAAAUCGUGAAUGCGGGAUGGACACGGCUUGCCCGAGUCCUUACCUCAGAGAGUGCAUGCCGCAUUACUUUCGAUGGGGUAGCUGUGAUCUGUGCGGUCUUCCUAAGCGAAUAUUUUCC